UACGAGGGGGGCAAGCGUUGUUCGGAAUUAUUGGGCGUAAAGGGUGCGUAGGCGGUGCGGUAAGUCUGUUGUGAAAUCUCCGGGCUCAACUCGGAGUCUGCAUCAGAAACUGCCGUGCUGGAGUGUGGGAGAGGUGAGUGGAAUUCCCGGUGUAGCGGUGAAAUGCGUAGAGAUCGGGAGGAACACCUGCGGCGAAAGCGGCUCACUGGACCAUAACUGACGCUGAGGCACGAAAGCCAGGGGAGCAAACGGG
rnacentral:rRNA from 1 species